rnacentral:ncRNA from 2 species
UGAAUGGGUCGCAACUGGCGUUCGGAUGGUUCACCAUCGGGGAGCGACUGACACGGUUAGUGGCCGCACGCCUGGGCCACGACG